rnacentral:rRNA from 1 species
GACGAACGCUGGCGGCGUGCUUAACACAUGCAAGUCGAACGGAAAGGCCCUGCUUUUGUGGGGUGCUCGAGUGGCGAACGGGUGAGUAACACGUGAGUAACCUGCCCUUGACUUUGGGAUAACUUAAGGAAACUGGGGCUAAUACCGGAUAGGAGCUCCUGCUGCAUGGUGGGGGUUGGAAAGUUUCGGCGGUUGGGGAUGGACUCGCGGCUUAUCAGCUUGUUGGUGGGGUAGUGGCUUACCAAGGCUUUGACGGGUAGCCGGCCUGGGAGGGUGACCGGCCACAUUGGGACUGAGAUACGGCCCAGACUCCUACGGGAGGCAGCAGUGGGGAAUAUUGCACAAUGGGCGGAAGCCUGAUGCAGCAACGCCGCGUGCGGGAUGACGGCCUUCGGGUUGUAAACCGCUUUCGCCUGUGACGAAGCGUGAGUGACGGUAAUGGGUAAAGAAGCUCCGGCUAACUACGUG